GUAGCCACGGAGACCGAGCCUUUUGGAUGAGCCGACCUGCAGGAAGUGAUCCCGCGGUCGGACAAGGUUGUGACAUCCUUCUGUUUAAGAGAGUCCAUCUCUCGUUCUGGUACGGGUCCCCGGCUCGCCCUUCUCUGCCAGGCGUUGGGUUCUCAUUGCACGUACCGAGCAAACGGAAACCUUGCGUCCCACUCUGGCUAAACCCAAACCACAAACAGACACGGGCAGGCUGAGCAUCAACCCACGGACUUCGCACACCGAGCGCCUGUCCUGGAGGAGAUGAAGAAAAGUGCGUUGAUGUGUGCGAGGCAGCUGCCUGGACACCAGAAGUCGGCCUUGCUGGCAUAAGAGACGACUGAGGGAAUGUUUCAUCUGCAGCGGCGAUGGCAGCCUGAUGGCAGCUGUUAAGCCUCCACAAUCGGCUCCGCUGGCAGUCAGAUUUAAUGUCCCGCUGACAGACACGCUUCAAACCGGAGCCUCACCCACACACAGAGCAAACACAGCGCAUGCCGGUAAAACGGCGCUUCUGCAGUCAAGUGGUGUGGCGCUGUUGUGAGGCGCUUCACAAAACAAUGCAGCUAUUUUCGUUGCAAUUUGUCAAGGAAGCAAUGAAAAUUUUAAUGCUCGCUGCAGACAUAUGAGCUGAGGGUCACCUAAAAGAUUAAAGGACAUAAGCUUCCUGAAGAAGAUAUCGCUGCAUCUCCAGCCCACCUUAACAAUGGCUCCCUGUCUCCAGCCUGCAGAACCUGAAGCUAACUUUGGUAAAAAAAAAAAAAAAAUUGGUUUGUGCACCAAUAUUUCAGUAACAUGCAAUGUUUUCGUAGAUAAAAAUAAUCUA